rnacentral:rRNA from 1 species
CAGGCCUAACACAUGCAAGUCGAGCGGUAACAGGGAUAGCUUGCUAUCUGCUGACGAGCGGCGGACGGGUGCGUAACGCGUAGGAAUUUGCCCGAUAGUGGGGGGUAGCCCGGAGAAAUUCGGAUUAAUACCGCAUACCUUCUACGGAAGAAAGCAGGGGAUCUUCGGACCUUGCGCUAUCGGAUGAGCCUGCGUCGGAUUAGCUAGUUGGUAGGGUAAAUGCCUACCAAGGCGACGAUCCGUAGCUGGUCUGAGAGGAUGAUCAGCCACACUGGGACUGAGACACGGCCCAGACUCCUACGGGAGGCAGCAGUGGGGAAUAUUGCACAAUGGGCGCAAGCCUGAUGCAGCCAUGCCGCGUGUGUGAAGAAGGCCCUAGGGUUGUAAAGCACUUUCAGCGAGGAGGAAGGGUAUCUUGCUAAUAUCAAGAUGCAUUGACGUUACUCGCAGAAGAAGCACCGGCUAACUCCGUGCCAGCAGCCGCGGUAAUACGGAGGGUGCGAGCGUUAAUCGGAAUUACUGGGCGUAAAGCGUGCGUAGGCGGUUAAAUAAGUUGGAUGUGAAAGCCCUGGGCUCAACCUAGGAACUGCACCCAAAACUGUUUAACUAGAGUACGAGAGAGGAGUGUGGAAUUUCCUGUGUAGCGGUGGAAUGCGUAGAUAUAGGAAGGAACACCAGUGGCGAAGGCGGCACUCUGGCUCGAUACUGACGCUGAGGUACGAAAGCAUGGGUAGCAAACAGGAUUAGAUA